UACGUAGGCAGCAAGCGUUUGUUCGGAGUUACUGGGCGUAAAGGGUGCGUAGGUGGCUCUAUAAGUAUGGUGUGAAAUCUCCCGCUCAACUGGGAGGGUGCGCCGAAUACUGAGAAGCUAGAGUGUGGGAGAGGAAAGUGGAAUUCCUGGUGUAGCGGUGAAAUGCGUAGAUAUCAGGAGGAACACCGGUGGUGUAAACGCUUUCUGG
rnacentral:rRNA from 1 species